UACGGGGGGGGCAAGCGUUGUUCGGAAUUACUGGGCGUAAAGGGCUCGUAGGCGGCCAACUAAGUCAGACGUGAAAUCCCUCGGCUUAACCGGGGAACUGCGUCUGAUACUGGACGGCUAGAGGUUGGGAGAGGGAUGCGGAAUUCCAGGUGUAGCGGUGAAAUGCGUAGAUAUCUGGAGGAACACCGGUGGCGAAGGCGGCAUCCUGGACCAAUUCUGACGCUGAGGAGCGAAAGCCAGGGGAGCAAACGGG
rnacentral:rRNA from 1 species